rnacentral:rRNA from 1 species
AUUGAACGCUGGCGGCAGGCCUAACACAUGCAAGUCGAGCGGAUGAAGGGAGCUUGCUCCUGGAUUCAGCGGCGGACGGGUGAGUAAUGCCUAGGAAUCUGCCUGGUAGUGGGGGAUAACGUCCGGAAACGGGCGCUAAUACCGCAUACGUCCUGAGGGAGAAAGUGGGGGAUCUUCGGACCUCACGCUAUCAGAUGAGCCUAGGUCGGAUUAGCUAGUUGGUGGGGUAAAGGCCUACCAAGGGGACGAUCCGUAACUGGUCUGAGAGGAUGAUCAGUCACACGGGAACUGAGACACGGUCCAGACUCCUACGGGAGGCAGCAGUGGGGAAUAGUGGACAAUGGGCGAAAGCCUGAUCCAGCCAUGCCGCGUGUGUGAAGAAGGUCUUCGGAUUGUAAAGCACUUUAAGUUGGGAGGAAGGGCAGUAAGUUAAUACCUUGCUGUUUUGACGUUACCAACAGAAUAAGCACCGGCUAACUUCGUG